GUCUUGAGACUCAGGAGUAAUGAAAGACCCCCGAAGGGAGACCCUCACUCAAGCCUCGGGAAAGGCGCGCACCCAGUAGGCACCAAGACCA
rnacentral:pre_miRNA from 11 species